AGUGAACGCUGGCGGUAGGCCUAACACAUGCAAGUCGAACGGCAGCACAGUAAGAGCUUGCUCUUACGGGUGGCGAGUGGCGGACGGGUGAGGAAUACAUCGGAAUCUACUUUUUCGUGGGGGAUAACGUAGGGAAACUUACGCUAAUACCGCAUACGACCUACGGGUGAAAGCAGGGGAUCUUCGGACCUUGCGCGAUUGAAUGAGCCGAUGUCGGAUUAGCUAGUUGGCGGGGUAAAGGCCCACCAAGGCGACGAUCCGUAGCUGGUCUGAGAGGAUGAUCGGCCACACUGGAACUGAGACACAGUCCAGACUCCUACGAGAGGCAGCAGUGGAGAAUAUUGGACAAUGGGCGCAAGCCUGAUCCAGCCAUACCGCGUGAGUGAAGAAGGCCUUCGGGUUGUAAAGCCCUUUUGUUGGGAAAGAAAAGCAGCAGGUUAAUACCCCGCUGUUCUGACGGUACCCAAAGAAUAAGCACCGGCUAACUUCGUG
rnacentral:rRNA from 1 species